AAUUAAAGUGACUUUCAAACAAAUUGGUUGUAAACCUAUGCCACUAACGAAGGUCUGUGAUAGACCCCACAAGACUGAAGAAUCCUCCACAAAUGAUCUUGCGACAGGCUUACAAAGUACCGCAAACAGAAACUCAUGAAUGAUCUCCCUUUUGCCAUGACCUAAUGUGUACAUAAGACAAAAUAGUUCCUACUCUGUUUCUUGGUUGCGUGGGAAUGUCGGU